GUGACAUCAACUACAUGAUUCAUUGCAACUGAAUAUUUGUCUUAUCAGGAUAAUUAGAAUUGGCUUGAAAGGAUUUUCAUAAGAUUUAGUUUACAAAACAGCAUAUUUCCUAUAAUACUUAGGUCAAACAAAAUGUGUUGUUCUUAGGUUCCAACACUCUGUUAUUAAGUUAUAACAUGUACAACGAUAUUGUCAAGCAAACGAAAAUAAUAUAAUUUAUGCGUUGAAAAAAAUCGUGCACACUAUAAAAUAGAUGACUGCAGUUUGUUGUGCAUUAUUAAGAUGUAUUCCUUACCCCCAAGAAUCAAGAGAAAGCGCAAUAAAGCUUAGAGAUAAAUUAAACAUCUCGUUUACCGUAAUGGACAUUGUAAUUUAUAUGGCAGAUUAUGCAACACAUAAAUUUACAUCAUGAUUUAAUGAAACUAGAAAUGAGAGGAGUGCGUCACAUUGUACAGUUAUACACAUAAUUUAAAACAAUGAAUCUGUUAUCAAGAAUUUUUUUUUUAAUGAAUACUGGCCACAAAAAAAAAAUGUACGGCCGACAAUUUUUUCAGACAAAAAUUUUUGUUCAGUUAACAAAAAUGUCGUCAGCUGU